UUCAAAAUUUUUAAUUAUCUAUCUUUCAAAUUUAAAAAAUAUCAUUGUGCGAGGAUAAGGUAGGGAUCUUAUCAAAAUGAUAUAAUACGAAAAAAGCCGUUAUUUCUUCCAUCUCUUUCUUCGAGUUUCACUACUAUUACUACUUUCUUCCACUCUCUUCCAACGGUUAGAGCUUGCUCGACAAAUCUUUCGUCGUGUUGGAUAGUAUAAACGGACCCUUACGCGUUGACCAGACGCAUUGACCAGACGCGCAUAUAUCUAUACGUACAUAGAGCGCAAGUGCGUGUGUCACAUCUUGACACACAGAAGAAUUCUGUAUACACGCCGGCGCUUCCUGCAGUAAAGUUAACGACCUCGAUUGCAUAUAAAUGCCUGGCUUAAUGGUUUCGAAGUAAGGCCGAAGGCCUCAGCUGAUAAAAUCCACUCUCUCCUAGCGGGGUUUACUACUACGCCCAUUUAAGCUCAUUUCACACGGAAUCUUUCUGUCGGCUUCUAUCUAUGACAUAGUGAUAUUUGUUAUUGCGUAAUCACUCACAACGUAAUAAAUUACUAGUUAUUGGAGAUAGACACUGUUCGCUCACAAAAGAAGAUGGCAAACAGAAAAAUAUGGCUACUGUUCCCCCACCUACUUGCAUCUAUAUUUUGCGUCGCACGUAAUUGGUCGAAUCAUAUGACGAAGAGAACGAAUGAAUAUAUUGAGUGCGGUUAGAACAAAUGCAAUGAUAGAUAUAUUUCAAACAUUUAUCUUACAAAAAGAGUGUUAAUUAUCGAGAAAAUAUAUUGUUAUUACAAUUUACAAGAAUCUUAUUACUAUAUCAACACAGUUAGUAUUCGCAAUGCACCGAGGCGAAAAUCUCCUGUUUUCUUUCUGCCAUUUCACUUGCUAUCCUCUCGUGGAUGAACGAUACUAUUAUAUGCCAUUCGAUAUUGUGUAAGAAUUUGCUGUACAAAGAUGUUGUAAUAUUAAUACAUUCCUUUGAAAGGAGAGAGACUUUAAUCAACAUAAUUACGUGUUUCGAAGCAUGAUAGUAAAAGUUUGACUUAUUUAAAGGUAAAUUGCGAUUCAAUUUGCAGGUUAAGUAACACAUUUAAAUGUGUGACAGAUAAUUCGAGUUAAAGUUAAGUUCGAUAAGUUUCGAUUAGAAGAGAAUGGAUAAAAUUUCAAUUUUUUAAUUGUUUUCACAGAGUAUACAUUGGGAAGAAAGAAACGAAUAGUUACGUAGAAAAGAGGGUUAUGAUGACGCAGGCGCUAUUAUAUUGAAAGCACGCAGUCAAUAUACGCGUUAUAUUUUGUACGUGGAAUCGACCCGUAUUUUGGCUUUUAGUCAUCGUCACACAUUCACAAGUCGACUCAUUCUAUGACACACGCAUGGAAUAAUGCUACGUAUACGUGUUCAACAUUCGUGCAGAGAAGAAAAAAGACCACUUAGAAUGUAAUAUAAUCGCUUUCAAACUUGAUCAAACUUUACAAAACUUGAAUGACUGGUAAAUUAUGUGGAGGCAAUUUGAACUUUUAAAAUCAAUUUUGUUUCCUGAAUUGAAUUCUUAUCCUGUUGAAUGAUUAUCUAGUUUUUUCAUUUUAAAUUUAUUUUAAUAUUUUUUUUUAAUAUUUCUAAAAAAUAGUUUUUUUGUACAUUAAUCAAUAUAUGAAAAA